rnacentral:rRNA from 1 species
UACGUAGGGUGCGAGCGUUAAUCGGAAUUACUGGGCGUAAAGCGUGCGCAGGCGGUCCGUUGUGUCCGAUGUGAAAGCCCCGGGCUUAACCUGGGAAUGGCAUGGGAAACUGGCGGGCUGGAGUGUGGCAGAGGGGGGUGGAAUUCCGCGUGUAGCAGUGAAAUGCGUAGAGAUGCGGGGGAACACCGAUGGCGAAGGCAGCCCCCUGGGCCAACACUGACGCUCAGGCACGAAAGCGUGGGGAGCAAACAGG